GCCGUGUUUGCUGCAAGAAAGGAGUCCGAAAGGUAUUAUUGCCCAACCUGCCCAUCUCUACCCGCCCUCUGCAUAACAGACUGUUUCAAAGUCUACCAUACACAGCUGAACUUCUGAAUCACUCUGCAUGGGACUUUGGCAGUUUGCUUGAUUUCCCUGGAUUACCUGACCUCGGCUUGUCCUGACUAUGCUUUGUGAGCUGCUUGUACCGACCCAUUGGCUUGUUUUAAC